CCGUCAUCCUGUACCCUCCCCCAUGUUCUUCUUUUCUCGAGCCGCAGCCACCUCUCCUCCCUCUGCCCAUUCCUCGCCUCCUCCGCGCCCCACCAACGUCGUCCCCCCUGCGUCGCUGCCGGGCCGCCACCAAUUCCUCCCUGCGUCACCGCCGGCCCCCCGACGACCCCUCCCUGCAUCACCGCCGGUGCCGGUGCUAAGGCCAGGAGUUCAGCCAUCACUCGUUCAGCCGUUCCCCACCGGCGGUUGGUGCUCCUGGAAGCGACGGCGCCGCAUCACGCGUGAGGGAGAUCCCGUGCACUGCCCCAUGGCCUCAUUCCUCUGCACUCAUCCAGGAAGAGCCUGCUUGCCGUCCAUCAAGCCGAGGUUGUGACAUUAGAUUGCUCCAGACAUGAAGUGGGGAUGAAGAAGAAUGCCAGCUAACUGAAUAUUCAUUGUUCAGCUGUACAGGCAAAAAUGGAUGGGAGACGCAAAAGCUGUAGCAAAUAUUUCGAUAGCGGACAGUCUCUACGUGCAGGCAACACAGAGUUCUCUGGUGGUCAUGCCAGCAGUACAACGCCAGGGAAGCUGAACUCCUAUGGCUGCUAAGCAGCCAUGUCCACAUUCAUUGUUGAACCUGGGGCUAUGCAUGCAGCAGCAUGCAAGUACCUUGUGUCCUUGACGUGCUGAAGAGGCGAUGGAAAAGGUCGCUGGUGAGGUCACCCACACGUUCCCCAGCAAUGAAAAUCUCAAGGAGGCCACCUCAAAGAUUAAGACGGUCAAUGAUGCGACCGAGGAAGAUGCUGAGAAAGCCGAGGCUCCGAUCCAAAAGCCGUUGCAUUAUUGACCGGUUGGAUGGAUGAUCAAUCGGCAGUGUGAGGGUGCUGGUCCUGCUGAUGGAGACAUUGACGAUGGGAAGUGGCAGCACAGGAGGUUACAGGAGGUUGCCGCUAGGUACUAGCAGCAUGCUAGCACGGAGCUCUGCCAGGGAAGUAGGCUGAUAGUUGAGCGAGAGAAAGAUUACAUGAAACCGGCAAUGGGAAAAAUCUGUUAUGUAGUGUUCAAAUAGCUAGGUAGGCAUUCUAUUUUCAUGGAUAAUGAUUUGUACUUCUGUGUUAAAACAUAGUGCAUACUUCUAUUAUACAUGCCAUUACACAAAUUUUAUACAAUAAAAAUGAAUGGUUAAGGAAAGUA